GAUGUUGUUGGGGUUUACAAUUUCAUCUUAUCCACUCUUAUAUAUCUACUCUUCUUAUUUACUUCACUUAUUUAUCUAAUUGCCAUGCAAACUUUCUAGUUUACCCUUAACCCAAUCCCUUGGUGAAAAGAGCCUAUUAUUAAUUACCGGUUUAUUAUCCCUAGCCUCCCUUAGUAACCAAUAAUGCAAUGUGAUCGGAAGCAAAUACAAUUGACCGUCCUACCCCUAUCCCUAGGCGAUAUUGGCAUAAUCAAGGAAUUUCUCACCAGUUCAUGACAUUAUCGUACCUCCCC
rnacentral:lncRNA from 1 species